AACGAACGCUGGCGGCAGGCUUAACACAUGCAAGUCGAACGCCCCGCAAGGGGAGUGGCAGACGGGUGAGUAACACGUGGGAACAUGCCCAAAGGUACGGAAUAUUCUCGGGAAACUGGGAGCAAUACCGUAUGUGCCCGAAAGGGGAAAGAUUUAUCGCCUUUGGAUUGGCCCGCGUUGGAUUAGCUAGUUGGUGGGGUAAAAGCCUACCAAGGCGACGAUCCAUAGCUGGUCUGAGAGGACGACCAGCCACACUGGGACUGAGACACGGCCCAGACUCCUACGGGAGGCAGCAGUGGGGAAUCUUGGACAAUGGGCGCAAGCCUGAUCCAGCCAUGCCGCGUGAGUGAUGAAGGCCCUAGGGUUGUAAAACUCUUUCGUGGGGGACGAUAAUGACGGUACCCCAAGAAGAAGCUCCGGCUAACUUCGUGCCAGCAGCCGCGGUAAUAC
rnacentral:rRNA from 1 species